AUGUGUGCAAUGGGCGGAUGUGUGCUCUUGAUAUGGGAGUGAACAGGAGUCCUCUGACCCCUGAUCACAACAUCUCUCUUCCCCAGUGAAGCUAUCAGGAAGCAGAGCUGGCUGUUAACUUGUAGGCGAUUUCACUAGGCUCCUCCCAGGGGCCUAGCAACGGCAUCAUCAUCUGAUGCUGUUACCUGCUGCUGCCAAGUGCAGGCGACAUUUAAAUCUGUGUGUGUCUCUGUCUCUGUCUCUGUGUCUCUUUUUUCCCCACUCCGGCCUAUCUCUCUCUGUGUCUCCCACCUUCUGUCCUUCUCUGUCCCCUCUUUUCUGCCCCCACGACUCUGUUCCCAUCUGCCUGCCUCUGCCCCUUCUCCAGGCCCUCGCUCCCCUCCCUUCCCUCAAAUAAACCUCCUUUAUGC
rnacentral:lncRNA from 1 species